CAAGGCCUUGCGCUCUUUGAGCGGCCGAUGUCAGAUUAGCUAGUUGGUGAGGUAAAGGCUUACCAAGGCGACGAUCUGUAGCGGGUCUGAGAGGAUGAUCCGCCACACUGGAACUGAGACACGGUCCAGACUCCUACGGGAGGCAGCAGUGGGGAAUUUUGGACAAUGGGGGCAACCCUGAUCCAGCCAUGCCGCGUGAGUGAAGAAGGCCUUCGGGUUGUAAAGCUCUUUCGGCCGGGAAGAAAUCGCAUGGGCCAAUACCCUGUGUGGAUGACGGUACCGGAAUAAGAAGCACCGGCUAACUACGUGCCAGCAGCCGCGGUAAUACGUAGGGUGCGAGCGUUAAUCGGAAUUACUGGGCGUAAAGCGUGCGCAGGCGGUUUUGUAAGACAGGCGUGAAAUCCCCGGGCUUAACCUGGGAACUGCGUUUGUGACUGCAAGGCUAGAGUACGGCAGAGGGGGGUGGAAUUCCACGUGUAGCAGUGAAAUGCGUAGGGAUGUGGAGGAACACCAAUGGCGAAGGCAGCCCCCUGGGUCGAUACUGACGCUCAUGCACGAAAGCGUGGGUAGCAGACAGGAUUAGAUACCCUGGUAGUCCACGCCCUAAACUAUGUCAACUAGGUGUUGGGUGGGUAAAACCAUUUAGUACCGUAGCUAACGCGUGAAGUUGACCGCCUGGGGAGUACGGCCGCAAGGUUAAAACUCAAAGGAAUUGACGGGGACCCGCACAAGCGGUGGAUGAUGUGGAUUAAUUCGAUGCAACGCGAAAAACCUUACCUACCCUUGACAUGCCAGGAACUUGCCAGAGAUGGCUUGGUGCCCGAAAGGGAGCCUGGACACAGGUGCUGCAUGGCUGUCGUCAGCUCGUGUCGUGAGAUGUUGGGUUAAGUCCCGCAACGAGCGCAACCCUUGUCGUUAAUUGCCAUCAUUUAGUUGGGCACUUUAACGAGACUGCCGGUGACAAACCGGAGGAAGGUGGGGAUGACGUCAAGUCCUCAUGGCCCUUAUGGGUAGGGCUUCACACGUCAUACAAUGGUCGGUACAAAGGGUUGCCAAGCCGCGAGGCGGAGCCAAUCCCAGAAAGCCGAUCGUAGUCCGGAUUGCAGGCUGCGACUCGCCUGCAUGAAGUCGGAAUCGCUAGUAAUCGUGGAUCAGCAUGUCACGGUGAAUACGUUCCCGGGUCUUGUACACACCGCCCGUCACACCAUGGGAGCGGGUUCCGCCAGAAGUAGGUAGCCUAACCGCAAGGGGGGCGCUUACCACGGCGGGGUUCGUGACUGGGGUGAAGUCGUAACAAGGU
rnacentral:rRNA from 1 species